rnacentral:rRNA from 1 species
GGCUGAAAUUCGCCUUCAUGAAGCCGGAAUUGCUAGUAAUGGCAGGUCAGCAUACUGCCGUGAAUACGUUCCCGGGCCUUGUACACACCGCCCGUCACACCAUGAGAGUUGGGAAUACCCGAAGCCUGUGAGCUAACUUUACGAGGCAGCAGUCGAAGGUAGAAUCAAUGAUUGGGGUGAAGUCGUAACAAGGUACC